rnacentral:rRNA from 1 species
CGAGGAAUCUUCCACAAUGGGCGCAAGCCCGAUGGAGCAACGCCGCGUGGAGGACGACGGCCUUCGGGUUGUAAACUCCUUUCGGGGGGGAUGAAACGGACAGUACCCCCAGAAGCAGCCCCGGCUAACUCUGUGCCAGCAGCCGCGGUAAUACAGAGGGGGCAAGCGUUGUCCGGAAUUACUGGGCGUACAGCGCGCGCAGGCGGUUGCCGACGUGCCGUGUGACAAACGGGGGCUCAACCCCCGAGGGCCACGGUAAACGGGGCGACUGGAGGAAGGGAGAGGGAUGUGGAAUGCCCGGUGGAGCGGUGAAAUGCGUAGAGAUCGGGCGGAACACCAGCGGCGAAGGCGGCAUCCUGGCCCUUACCUGACGCUGAGGCGCGAGAGCGUGGGGAGCAAACCG